rnacentral:tRNA from 2 species
ACUAAUUUGGCAGAUAAGUGCGGUGGAUUUAGAAUCUAUAUAUGUGUAGGUUACACAUUUAGUA